rnacentral:rRNA from 1 species
UACGAGGGGAGCAAGCGUUGUUCGGAUUUACUGGGCGUAAAGGGCGCGUAGGCGGCUCAACAAGUCACUUGUGAAAUCUCCGGGCUUAACUCGGAACGGUCAAGUGAUACUGUCGAGCUAGAGUACAGAAGGGGCAACUGGAAUUCUCGGUGUAGCGGUGAAAUGCGUAGAUAUCGAGAGGAACACCUGCGGCGAAGGCGGGUUGCUGGGCUGAUACUGACGCUGAGGCGCGAAAGCCAGGGGAGCGAACGGG